UCUAAUAUGGCAGAUUAGUGCAAUGAAUUUAAGAUUCAUAUAUAAAAUAUUUUUUUUUAUUGGAA
rnacentral:tRNA from 1 species